UACGUAGGGGGCAAGCGUUGUCCGGAUUCAUUGGGCGUAAAGAGCGUGUAGGCGGCCUGGAAGGUCAGCUGUGAAAACUCGAGGCUCAACCUCGAGACGUCGGUUGAAACCACCUGGCUAGAGUCCGGAAGAGGAGUGUGGAAUUCCCGGUGUAGCGGUGGAAUGCGCAGAUAUCGGGAAGAACACCCGUGGCGAAGGCGGCUCUCUGGAACGCAACUGACGCUGAGACGCGAAAGCGUGGGGAGCAAACAGG
rnacentral:rRNA from 1 species